AGAGUUUGAUCAUGGCUCAGAACGAACGCUGGCGGCAUGCCUAACACAUGCAAGUCGAACGCGUGGCUUCGGCCACGAGUGGCGCACGGGUGAGUAACGCGUGGGAACCUGCCCCGAGGUGGGGGAUAACCGAUGGAAACGUCGGCUAAUACCGCAUACGACCUGAGGGUGAAAGAUUUAUCGCCUUGGGAGGGGCCCGCGUCGGAUUAGCUAGUUGGUGGGGUAACGGCCUACCAAGGCGAUGAUCCGUAGCUGGUCUGAGAGGAUGAUCAGCCACACUGGGACUGAGACACGGCCCAGACUCCUACGGGAGGCAGCAGCGGGGAAUAUUGGACAAUGGGGGCAACCCCGAUCCAGCAAUGCCGCGUGAGUGAUGAAGGCCUUAGGGUUGUAAAGCUCUUUCGGCGGGGACGAUGAUGACGGUACCCGCAGAAGAAGCCCCGGCUAACUUCGUGCCAGCAGCCGCGGUAAUACGAAGGGGGCAAGCGUUGUUCGGAAUUACUGGGCGUAAAGGGCGCGCAGGCGGCCAAUCAAGUCAGAUGUGAAAGCCCCGGGCUCAACCUGGGAAUAGCAUUUGGGACUGGUUGGCUAGAGAUCGGGAGAGGAGAGUGGAAUUCCCAGUGUAGAGGUGAAAUUCGUAGAUAUUGGGAGGAACACCGGUGGCGAAGGCGGCUCUCUGGACCGAUACUGACGCUGAGGCGCGAAAGCGUGGGGAGCAAACAGGAUUAGAUACCCUAGUAGUCC
rnacentral:rRNA from 1 species